GUUUAGACCGUCGUGAGACAGGUUAGUUUUACCCUACUGAUGGAGUGUUACCGUAACAGUAAUUGAGGGUAGUACGAGAGGAACUGCUCAUUCAGUUAAUUGGUAUUUGCGCCUGUCCGAUCGGGCAAUGGCGCGAAGCUAUCAACUGCUAGAUUAUGGCUGAACGCCUCUAAGUCAGAAUCCAUGCUGAAAAGCGACGAUAUUCACCUUUUUCGAUGUGGACUGUAUAUGAAUAA
rnacentral:rRNA from 1 species